UGAUGGACAAGAAAACUUCAUUCAGUUCCGGACGUAAAUCGCUGCUGUGCGGUUGUAAAGUACGGAGAAUUCAAUAAGAGGAAGUGUUUCAUUUUCGGUGUCAUAAAGAUAAAUAAACGAAUUGCAGUCAUUGCAGCCGCCAUAAGCAAAUAAAAGGAAAAUCAUAACAAAGCAAGCCAACGUCUGCUGCUUUCACAUCCUUUUGGCAUCCUUGCUUGCUUGCUUGCUUGGUUGCCUGCCUGCUUCAUUGCUUGGCAAAAAAAUAAAAAAAAAACAUAAGCGGUGUUUGCUUUUUACUUUUUGAAACUGCUUCACAUUGUUUUUUGCUUCAUUUUUUUGUUUUUUCGAAUGUUUUGGCAAUCGAGACUUUACCUACCACUCGUAUGCAGUGAACAGUAAAAACAGCAUAAAACCAGCAUAACAUAAAAAAGAAGUGAAAAAUAAAAAUAUUUUUUUGUUUGUUUGUUUGUUUGAAGCAGAAAUCCUGCAAGUCUACCAAAUCUUCUUGCCAUUAUUGCAUUUCUACUUGCUGCUUUGCGUUCGUUCAUUUUAAAGCAGUACAGUGAAAACAGUUAAAACAAACAACAACAACAACGUUAACAUCGGAGUCGAAAUCGGCAUUGGCAUCGACAUCGACAUCGACGUCAGCUUGACAAUUUGUAACUAUAACUGCAGUAACGGCAUUGGCAGCAUCAGUAUUAAUUGCAACAACAACAACAACAACAACAGUAAUAGUAGCAGUGACUGUGACAAUAACAGUGGCAGUGACAGUGGCAAUAAUUUUGAUUUUGAUUUUGAUUCUUGUUACGACUGACCACCACAAGUGUUAAAAGCAACAACAAAAGCGGUGCAGUUGUCACGCGGAAAAAAGUUAAUAAAUAAUCAAAAAAAAAAAAAUAAAUAAAAGAAAGUAAAAGUUUAAAUAUUAAACAGAAAAUUAUUCAUUUUCAUAGUUUUGUUGUUAACACAAGUUGAAGAAAAAGUGUGCAGUGUUUGUAAAAAAAUUUUUUGUCAAUAAUAAAUACAACAAAUUUUUGAUAAUUACACAUAGCAAAGGUGUAAAUAUACAUGAAAAAAGUUUUUUUUGCAUAUAAAAAAUUUAUUGAGCCCGCAGCAACAAAGUUUCAAGUUGAUAAAUUUAAACAAAAAAAAACAAAAAACACAAAAAUUAUAUAAAAAUCGACGACAAUAAAUUGGCCAUAAUAAAUACAUACAAAUUCAGUUGCUAUUGCUAUAUGAUUGAAUACUGUAUUUAGCCAAUUGUAAGUUUGCACACGUAUCGAUUUGAAUUAUCAACUUUC